rnacentral:rRNA from 1 species
GAUGAACGCUGGCGGCGUGCUUAACACAUGCAAGUCGAACGGAAAGGCCCAAGCUUGCUUGGGUACUCGAGUGGCGAACGGGUGAGUAACACGUGGGUGAUCUGCCCUGCACUUCGGGAUAAGCCUGGGAAACUGGGUCUAAUACCGGAUAGGACCACAUUUUGGAUGGUGUGGUGGAAAGUUUUUCGGUGUGGGAUGAGCUCGCGGCCUAUCAGCUUGUUGGUGGGGUAAUGGCCUACCAAGGCGUCGACGGGUAGCCGGCCUGAGAGGGUGUACGGCCACAUUGGGACUGAGAUACGGCCCAGACUCCUACGGGAGGCAGCAGUGGGGAAUAGUGCACAAUGGGCGCAAGCCUGAUGCAGCGACGCCGCGUGGGGGAUGACGGCCUUCGGGUUGUAAACUCCUUUCGCUAGGGACGAAGCGUUAUGUGACGGUACCUGGAGAAGAAGCACCGGCUAACUACGUG